rnacentral:tRNA from 1 species
AGCGGGGUAGCUCAGUUGGUAGAGCAAGCGGCUCAUAAUCGCUGUGUCGCCGGUUCAAAUCCGGCCCUCGCUAC